GACGAACGCUGGCGGCGUGCCUAAUACAUGCAAGUCGAACGCAGUGGGGACGGGUGAGUAACACGUGGGUAACCUCCCAUCAGAGGGGAUAACACUUGGAAACAGGUGCUAAACCGAUACUGAUGGAUGGACCCGCGGUGCAUUAGCUAGUUGGUGAGGUAACGGCUCCCCAAGGCCACGAUGCAUAGCCAACCAAAGAGGAUGAUCGGACACACUGGGACAGAGACACGGCCCGAAGUCCUGCGGAAGGCAGCAGUAGGGAAACUUCGGCAAUGGACGAAAGUCUGACCGAGCAACGCCGAGUGAGUGAAGAGGGUUUACGAAUCGUAAACCUCUGUUGUUGGAGGAGCGGUAUCUAACAAAAAAGCCACGACUAACUACGUACCAGCCGCCGCGGUAAUUC
rnacentral:rRNA from 1 species